GACGAACGCUGGCGGCGUGCUUAACACAUGCAAGUCGAGCGGUAAGGCUCCUUCGGGAGUACACGAGCGGCGAACGGGUGAGUAACACGUGAGCAAUCUGCCCUUCCCUUUGGGAUAACUUCCGGAAACGGAAGCUAAUACCGAAUACGACCACCUCAGGCAUCUGAUGGUGGGGGAAAGUUCCGGCGGGGAAGGAAGAGCUCGCGGCCUAUCAGCUUGUUGGUGAGGUAACGGCUCACCAAGGAUUCGACGGGUAGCCGGGCUGAGAGGGUGACCGGCCACACUGGGACUGAGACACGGCCCAGACUCCUACGGGAGGCAGCAGUGGGGAAUAUUGGACAAUGGGCGAAAGCCUGAUCCAGCAACGCCGCGUGAGGGAUGACUGCCUUCGGGUUGUAAACCUCUUUCAGCGGGGACGAAGCGAAAGUGACGGUACCCGCAGAAGAAGCACCGGCCAACUACGUGCCAGCCGCCGCCGUAAGAC
rnacentral:rRNA from 1 species